rnacentral:rRNA from 1 species
GACAGAGGGUGCAAACGUUGUUCGGAAUUACUGGGCGUAAAGCGCGUGUAGGCGGCCCAGCAAGUCGGAUGUGAAAGCCCUGGGCUUAACCUAGGAAGUGCAUUCGAAACUGCUGGGCUUGAGUUCUGGAGAGGAAGGCGGAAUUCUCGGUGUAGAGGUGAAAUUCGUAGAUAUCGAGAGGAACACCGGUGGCGAAGGCGGCCU